UCGAUUCCCUUAGUAGCGGCGAGCGAAACGGGAAGAGCCCAAACCAACAAGCUUGCUUGUUGGGGUUGUAGGACACUCUAUACGGAGUUACAAAGGACGACAUUAGACGAAUCAUCUGGAAAGAUGAAUCAAAGAAGGUAAUAAUCCUGUAGUCGAAAAUGUUGUCUCUCUUGAGUGGAUCCUGAGUACGACGGAGCACGUGAAAUUCCGUCGGAAUCUGGGAGGACCAUCUCCUAAGGCUAAAUACUCUCUAGUGACCGAUAGUGAACCAGUACCGUGAGGGAAAGGUGAAAAGCACCCCGGAAGGGGAGUGAAAUAGAACCUGAAACCGUGUGCUUACAAGUAGUCAGAGCCCGUUAAUGGGUGAUGGCGUGCCUUUUGUAGAAUGAACCGGCGAGUUACGAUUUGAUGCAAGGUUAAGCAGUAAAUGUGGAGCCGUAGCGAAAGCGAGUCUGAAUAGGGCGUUUAGUAUUUGGUCGUAGACCCGAAACCAGGUGAUCUACCCUUGGUCAGGUUGAAGUUCAGGUAACACUGAAUGGAGGACCGAACCGACUUACGUUGAAAAGUGAGCGGAUGAACUGAGGGUAGCGGAGAAAUUCCAAUCGAACCUGGAGAUAGCUGGUUCUCUCCGAAAUAGCUUUAGGGCUAGCCUCAAGUGAUGAUUAUUGGAGGUAGAGCACUGUUUGGACGAGGGGCCCCUCUCGGGUUACCGAAUUCAGACAAACUCCGAAUGCCAAUUAAUUUAACUUGGGAGUCAGAACAUGGGUGAUAAGGUCCGUGUUCGAAAGGGAAACAGCCCAGACCACCAGCUAAGGUCCCAAAAUAUAUGUUAAGUGGAAAAGGAUGUGGCGUUGCCCAGACAACUAGGAUGUUGGCUUAGAAGCAGCCAUCAUUUAAAGAGUGCGUAAUAGCUCACUAGUCGAGUGACACUGCGCCGAAAAUGUACCGGGGCUAAACAUAUUACCGAAGCUGUGGAUUGUCCUUUGGACAAUGGUAGGAGAGCGUUCUAAGGGCGUUGAAGCAUGAUCGUAAGGACAUGUGGAGCGCUUAGAAGUGAGAAUGCCGGUGUGAGUAGCGAAAGACGGGUGAGAAUCCCGUCCACCGAUUGACUAAGGUUUCCAGAGGAAGGCUCGUCCGCUCUGGGUUAGUCGGGUCCUAAGCUGAGGCCGACAGGCGUAGGCGAUGGAUAACAGGUUGAUAUUCCUGUACCACCUAUAAUCGUUUUAAUCGAUGGGGGGACGCAGUAGGAUAGGCGAAGCGUGCGAUUGGAUUGCACGUCUAAGCAGUAAGGCUGAGUAUUAGGCAAAUCCGGUACUCGUUAAGGCUGAGCUGUGAUGGGGAGAAGACAUUGUGUCUUCGAGUCGUUGAUUUCACACUGCCGAGAAAAGCCUCUAGAUAGAAAAUAGGUGCCCGUACCGCAAACCGACACAGGUAGUCAAGAUGAGAAUUCUAAGGUGAGCGAGCGAACUCUCGUUAAGGAACUCGGCAAAAUGACCCCGUAACUUCGGGAGAAGGGGUGCUCUUUAGGGUUAACGCCCAGAAGAGCCGCAGUGAAUAGGCCCAAGCGACUGUUUAUCAAAAACACAGGUCUCUGCUAAACCGUAAGGUGAUGUAUAGGGGCUGACGCCUGCCCGGUGCUGGAAGGUUAAGAGGAGUGGUUAGCUUCUGCGAAGCUACGAAUCGAAGCCCCAGUAAACGGCGGCCGUAACUAUAACGGUCCUAAGGUAGCGAAAUUCCUUGUCGGGUA
rnacentral:rRNA from 1 species